rnacentral:ncRNA from 1 species
UGGAUAAAGUUUUUCACUUCACUGUCUUUACGGAGAGAAGACUAUGAGACAAUCAGAGCUGAACCUAAACCUAACCUCAACUGGGUUGAGCUUCACAACCAGUCCAGCCUCAUUGAAACAGUCAAAAGUAGUGCUUCUACAAUUGAAUAAGAUUAAAGAUUAUAAUCGAUAUUGGAAACGAUCAAAUUAGUGUGAAAAUAAUCACAACUUUCGGCUUCUCAAAUCUCAUUUUUUUCAACCUACAAAAGUCAACCGUUUAACAAACAAGACAAGUGUUUUGGUCUUAAGAAUCCAUGUUUAGUGCUUGAUGGGAGAUUCUAAGACAGACUACAGCGAAAGCAUUUGCCAAGAACGUUUUCAUUAGUCAAUAACGAAAGUUAGAGGUUCAAAGGUGAUCAGAUACUAGUUCUAACCAUAAACGAUGCUAAACAGCGAUCAUUCUGAGUAACUAAUUUCAUAACCCGAAUCGAAGCUUCUGGGAAACCAAAGUUUUUGAGUUCCG